rnacentral:rRNA from 1 species
GAUGAACGCUGGCGGCGUGCCUAAUACACGCAAGUCGAGCGAACAGAUGAGGAGCUUGCUCCUCUGACGUUAGCGGCGGACGGGUGAGUAACACGUGGAUAACCUACCUAUAAGACUGGGAUAACUUCGGGAAACCGGAGCUAAUACCGGAUAAUAUAUUGAACCGCAUGGUUCAAUAGUGAAAGACGGUUUUGCUGUCACUUAUAGAUGGAUCCGCGCCGCAUUAGCUAGUUGGUAAGGUAACGGCUUACCAAGGCAACGAUUCGUAGCCGACCUGAGAGGGUGAUCGGCCACACUGGAACUGAGACACGGUCCAGACUCCUACGGGAGGCAGCAGUAGGGAUUCUUCCGCAAUGGGCGAAAGCCUGACGGAGCAACGCCGCGUGAGUGAUGAAGGUUUUCGGAUCGUAAAACUCUGUUAUUAGGGAAGAACAAAUGUGUAAGUAACUAUGCACGUCUUGACGGUACCUAAUCAGAAAGCCACGGCUAACUACGUG